rnacentral:rRNA from 1 species
ACCCGCUGAACUUAAGCAUAUCAAUAAGCGGAGGAAAAGAAACCAACAGGGAUUGCCUCAGUAACGGCGAGUGAAGCGGCAAGAGCUCAAAUUUAAAAGCCGACGUAGCUUUAAGAGACGUCCGCAUUGUAAUUUGAAGAGGCAUUCUCGGGUCGGGGCUCAGGCCUAAGUUCCUUGGAAGAGGGCGUCGUGGAGGGUGAGAACCCCGUUCGCGGCCUGCUGUCGACCUUUCCCCGAUCCACACGAGGUGCCAUCGAAGAGUCGAGUUGUUUGGGAAUGCAGCUCAAAGCGGGUGGUAAAUUCCAUCCAAAGCUAAAUAUUGACGGGAGACCGAUAGCGAACAAGUAGAGUGAUCGAAAGAUGAAAAGCACUUUGGAAAGAGAGUUAAACAGCACGUGAAAUUGUUGAAAGGGAAGCGCUUGAGACCAGUCACGGACCGAGGCGAUCAGUGGGACGUCCCUCUCGGGGGAGGAACCGCGCACUCGCUUUUCGGGUUUUCCGGGUCAACAUCGGUUGGGACGGUGUCAGAAAGGUCGCGGGAACGUGGCUCCCUUCACGGGGAGUGUUAUAGCCCGUGGCGUCAAAGUCGCCAGUUUCGACCGAGGACCGCGCUCGUCUUUUUCGAGCAAGGAUGUUGACGUAAUGGUCCC